AAAUACUUUAUAACGAAAAAGAAAAAUAGAGGUACUUUUUGUUUUACACAGUUGUUAACCCUUUCCACUCGAUCACAAAAAAGGAACCGUUUUAAACACGUUACGUAAUAAGUUAUGGAUUUGUUAGUCGAUCUUAAAACUAAAGCGUAUCGACCUCAAAGUGUAUAGGUUAGAAAAAAAUUGUGGAUGUUCUUUUAUAUCGAUCGUGAUUAAUCAAUUGUAUCGGAAAUAUGAAAGUCCAGAAAUUGUUAAGCUCAAAGUAAAUUGGUCAUUAUAAGAUCUAGUGAAUGAAAGAAAUUAUUAUGUUUAAAAAGAGAAGUAUACGCUAGAUGGGACUACUUAUUUCAAUGUCACCUUAUACAUGACGUAAUUCUGAUAGUUCAGCGUCGCUUUUUCGCAGCAAGACCUUCAAUCGGUAUUUCUGGAAAUAUUGGUCGAGGCCACGAAAUAUUUCCGGUCACUGCCAAGGACCGAAGGCCAUACUUUGAGUAGUUGCAAGUUCAUGAUAAUCGAUUUUGUUGGAACAGCAUCUGUUUGACAUCGACCUCGAGUAUAAUCGCAAUGAUCAAGUAUGUGUGUACGGUUAGAACUUAAGAAAUUCCUUCAUUACUAUACCAUACUUUUCACGAAUAUAAUACAUAAGAAGAACCAAAAAAUUAACCAAACGAAAUAAAACGAUUUAAGAAAGAACAGGUUAUACCGUAAACCGUAAUAAAUUUAAUUCCUAAUAACGUAUCCUCCAUUUAUUACAGACUUAACCUGUCGUACUGUAGAAACUAUUAAAAAAUAAACAUUCGAUCGAUAUCGUUU
rnacentral:lncRNA from 1 species